GACGAACGCUGGCGGCGUGCUUAACACAUGCAAGUCGAACGGAAAGGCCCUGCUUUUGUGGGGUGCUCGAGUCGCGAACGGGUGAGUAACACGUGAGUAACCUGCCCUUGACUUUGGGAUAACUUCAGGAAACUGGGGCUAAUACCGGAUAGGAGCUCCUGCUGCAUGGUGGGGGUUGGAAAGUUUCGGCGGUUGGGGAUGGACUCGCGGCUUAUCAGCUUGUAGGUGGGGUAGUGGCUUACCAAGGCUUUGACGGGUAGCCGGCCUGAGAGGGUGACCGGCCACAUUGGGACUGAGAUACGGCCCAGACUCCUACGGGAGGCAGCAGUGGGGAAUAUUGCACAAUGGGCGGAAGCCUGAUGCAGCAACGCCGCGUGCGGGAUGACGGCCUUCGGGUUGUAAACCGCUUUCGCCUGUGACGAAGCGUGAGUGACGGUAAUGGGUAAAGAAGCACCGGCUAACUACGUG
rnacentral:rRNA from 1 species